AGUGAACGCUGGCGGUAGGCCUAACACAUGCAAGUCGAACGGCAGCACAGUAAGAGCGUGCUCUGACGGGGGGCGGGUGGCGGACGGGAGAGGAGUACAUCGGAAUCUACUUUUUGGGGGAGGAUAACGUAGGGGGACUUACGCUAAUACCGCAGACGACCUACGAGGGAAAGCGGUGGAUCGUCGGAGCUGGCGGGGUUGAAUGAGCCGAUGUCGGAUUAGCUGGUGGGCGGGGGAAAGGCCAAGCAAGGCGAGGAUCCGUAGCCGGUCUGAGAGGAUGAUCAGCCACCCUGGAACUGAGCCACGGUCCAGACUCCUGCGGGAGGCAGCAGUGGGGUAUAUUGGACAAUGGGCGCAAGCCUGAUCCAGCCAUCCCGCGUGGGUGAAGACGGCCUUCGGGUUGUAAAGCCCUUUUGUUGGGAAAGAACAGCAGCAGGUUAAUACCCCGCUGUUCUGACGGUACCCAAAGAAUAAGCACCGGCUAACUUCGUG
rnacentral:rRNA from 1 species